rnacentral:misc_RNA from 1 species
UACGUAGGGGGCAAGCGUUGUCCGGAAUUAUUGGGCGUAAAGCGCGCGCAGGCGGUUUCUUAAGUCUGAUGUGAAAGCCCACGGCUCAACCGUGGAGGGUCAUUGGAAACUGGGAGACUUGAGGACAGAAGAGGAGAGCGGUAUUCCACGUGUAGCGGUGAAAUGCGUAGAGAUGUGGAGGAACACCAGUGGCGAAGGCGACUUUCUGGUCUGUAACUGACGCUGAGGUGCGAAAGCGUGGGGAGCAAACAGA